CACUAGAGAAUUGGGGUAAAUAUUUGCCAAGAUUUUUUUUUAAGCUGAGGAUAACAGAGGUCAUGAGAGAACAUUAGAGAGGAAGAGGUGAAUUGUGAAGCUGGUCAGUGAAAAAGGGGGAAAAAAAGCAAAAAGCAUUUGCCAAGGGGCUGUGUAAACAGCAAGAAGCAGAAGUGAAAUGCUCUUAAGUAAGAGGCCGGAAUGAAAAGAGUCACUGGCUCUCUGAACAGAAAAACUGGUAGGAGAGAGAUGCUUUGGGAAGAAAUAUCAACAAUAAACUGUUUUAUGAAGCAC
rnacentral:lncRNA from 1 species